rfam:Fibulorhizoctonia sp. CBS 109695 unplaced genomic scaffold FIBSPscaffold_116, whole genome shotgun sequence.
GCUUGGUUGGCUCAGCUGGUUAGAGCGCCGGUCUCAUAUCCAAAAUAUGAGGGAUGACCUGCAUCCCGCAAUCCGGAGACCACCAGUUCGAACCUGGUACCGAGCA